CAUUCAGUAGCCCAGCUACUUGUUUACACCCUUGUUUUUUUGCGUACUUAUCGUUUCCUCGGCGGGCUUGCCUGCCGGUUGGACAACUUUAUAACCUUUUUAAAUCUUCAAUCAGCGUCUGAAUAAUAUACAAUAAUUA
rnacentral:misc_RNA from 1 species